GAUGAACGCUGGCGGCGUGCCUAAUACAUGCAAGUCGAGCGAACAGACGAGGAGCUUGCUCCUCUGACGUUAGCGGCGGACGGGUGAGUAACACGUGGAUAACCUACCUAUAAGACUGGGAUAACUUCGGGAAACCGGAGCUAAUACCGGAUAAUAUAUUGAACCGCAUGGUUCAAUAGUGAAAGACGGUUUUGCUGUCACUUAUAGAUGGAUCCGCGCCGCAUUAGCUAGUUGGUAAGGUAACGGCUUACCAAGGCAACGAUGCGUAGCCGACCUGAGAGGGUGAUCGGCGACACUGGAACUGAGACACGGUCCAGACUCCUACGGGAGGCAGCAGUAGGGAAUCUUCCGCAAUGGGCGAAAGCCUGACGGAGCAACGCCGCGUGAGUGAUGAAGGUCUCCGGAUCGUAAAACUCUGUUAUUAGGGAAGAACAAAUGUGUAAGUAACUAUGCACGUCUUGACGGUACCUAAUCAGAAAGCCACGGCUAACUACGUG
rnacentral:rRNA from 1 species